CUGGCCCCGCUCCGCCCGGCCCGGCCCGGCCCUUAACAGCGGCGCCGUCCCGGGACGCCGUAUGUGAUCCGGGAGGGCAGCGCCGCACCGCCCCGCACCGCCCCGCACCGCCCCCGCGCACCAGCACCGCACCGGCACCCCGGCUCGGCCCCGCGGAGCUCCGGAGCAGCCGGCACCAUCCCCACCCCGGCACCCCACCAUGAGCAACCUCAACAAGGACACCGAGCACACCAACGGCGGCGGCACCGUCGAGGAGGAGGUACGGACGCUGUUUGUCAGUGGCCUUCCUGUGGAUAUCAAACCCAGAGAGCUCUACCUUCUCUUCCGACCAUUCAAGGGUUAUGAGGGGUCACUGAUCAAGCUGACUUCAAAGCAGCCAGUGGGUUUUGUGACCUUCGACAGCCGGGCUGGCGCUGAAGCAGCCAAGAACGCCUUGAAUGGCAUCCGCUUCGACCCCGAGAACCCCCAGACCUUGCGGUUAGAGUUCGCUAAAGCCAACACAAAGAUGGCCAAGAGCAAGCUGAUGGCCACACCGAACCCCACCAACAUCCACCCUGCCUUGGGUGCACAUUUCAUUGCACGGGACCCCUAUGACCUGACUGGAGCGGCUCUCAUCCCAGCGUCUCCGGAAGCGUGGGCUCCCUACCCCCUGUACACCACGGAGCUGACCCCUGCCAUCCCCCACGCCGCCUUCACCUACCCGGCCGCAGCUGCCGCGGCCGCCGCUCUUCACGCUCAGAGCUGAGUUCAGCAUCGGGGAGAGGAGGUGGCCUGGCCUCCUGAAGAGCUGCCCAGAGGGCUGGCAGGAGGGAUGAGGGGCAGGAGGUGGUGAGAGGCUGGCCUGGCCUCGGGAACCCUUGUGAACUCCAGCCAUGAUGCCAGCGCAGGCUAGCCCCGAAGCUCAGAGCUGUCCCUGGAGAUGGGACGCCCUAGUGAUGCCUUAUUGCAGCUAGUGGAGUGGCUGUACUACAGCUCCAUUCCUAGAAGUGUUAAGCAUGAUGGCAUCCACGUCUGGAAAGACUGGUAAGAUGCGCUGGUAUCCUCCCUCUGAAGCUACCCAGCAAGGAUGGAAGUCUCGUCAGUUUUGUUAGUUCAUUACGUCUCUCCUCGGCUCGUGUUCCUCCUCCCUGCCUCUCCGCAGAGGGAAGUGCCAGGGACGAUUUCCUCCUCCCUGCCUCUCCGCAGAGGGAAGUGCCAGGGACGAUCGCUCCGGCUCCUCUGGAUUUGGUACGUGGCCAGAGGACAAGGUGCCUGGCCCCGCCGCGCUGCCCCCGGCGCUGCCAGCACCCCUUUCCCUGGACUGUGAAGCCAUCGUGGCCCAGCCAUGGGCUGUGCGCUGCCUCCACCCCUCUCUCCAUCCCUCCCUCAGGCCAUUCCCAGGACCUCCUCCCUGCCUGAGCUUUGCCAUCCGGCUGCACUGAAACCCAGCCGGGGGCCAGGUCCUGGGCUUCCCCAGGCUCUCCCUGCUCCGGGGGCAGCUCGGCUGAAGGAAUCGAAAGGCAAAAUGGGUUUUGCAUGUUUUCUGGCAUGAAUUAAAACACUUAACUUGUGUCUGUGUGAGUGUAAGUUUGUUUGUUCUAGCGUUUGUGUAACCGUUAGCAACAGGUCUUGGCCCAACGGAUUGAUCCAUCAAGGUUUUCUUCUUGCUUUGGUGAAGACUUGGCUUUGAGAAAUACUAACUGUCCUUGUCUCACCCCUUCUCCCACCUCCACCCUUCCCUCCCUAGGAUGACCAGAAAAAUUUCAAAAAUGCUUUUUUUUUUUUUUUUUUUCCUUUUUUUUUUUAAAGUAUGAUGCACUGGGUUUUUGUUCUCAUCCAUUCUGCUUGUUUUAAAGUCAGGGUUAUUAUAUUAUUUUUUUCCUUCUUCAAACUUCUAUAUAUAGAACAGCUGUAAAAUAUCUAACCUCUUUUUUUUUUUUUUUCCCACAUUCUUCUGAUUGGAGAGCAUCCAGUCUUGCCAAAUAAUCAGCCAUCCUUAUGGGAAUACCGAACAAAAAAAAAAAAGUACGAGUAUUUUUGUACCAUGUGUAAUAAGGAAAUAUUUAUGCAUCAUAAAGAAUUUCUUGUGUGUUUGUGUGCAAUUAAUUAUUAUUAUUAUUAAAGAGAAAUUGUAAUCCUGUAAGAUAAGUUAAUGUUUAGUUAAAAGCUUGAAAAAGAAGGGUUGUCUUCUGUACCAAUGAUUCAGUCAGGCAUAGUAAACAAGAAAUUGUGCAAUUUUUGUUUUAGCAUCUUAUUGCUUGGUAUUGAAGUGCUUGAAGUAUUAUCUGACCAUGGCUGUCUCGCUUGUAUUAAAAGAUUUGAGAAUAAGUUGCUCUAUAAUUGCUGAUCCUAUGAGAAUGUGAAACUGGAUAAUAUAUGAAAUGCAACCAAAAAAAAAUAUAUAUACCCAGAGGCUGCUGUGA